rnacentral:rRNA from 1 species
GAGUUUGAUCCUGGCUCAGGAUGAACGCUGGCGGCGUGCUUAACACAUGCAAGUCGAACGAAGCACGGGUGUGGAAUUUCUUCGGAAAGGAAGCGCCUGUGACUGAGUGGCGGACGGGUGAGUAACGCGUGGGCAACCUGCCCCAUACCGGGGGACAACAGCCGGAAACGGCUGCUAAUACCGCAUACGUUUCCGGUGCCGCAUGGCGCCGGAAAGAAAACUCCGGUGGUAUGGGAUGGGCCCGCGUCUGAUUAGCUUGUUGGGAGGGUAACGGCCUACCAAGGCGACGAUCAGUAGCCGGCCUGAGAGGGCGGCCGGCCACAUUGGGACUGAGACACGGCCCAGACUCCUGCGGGAGGCAGCAGUGGGGAAUAUUGCACAAUGGGGGAAACCCUGAUGCAGCGACGCCGCGUGAGCGAAGAAGUAUCUCGGUAUGUAAAGCUCUAUCAGCAGGGAAGAAAGUGACAGUACCUGACUAAGAAGCCCCGGCUAACUACGUGCCAGCAGCCGCGGUAAUACGUAGGGGGCAAGCGUUAUCCGGAUUUACUGGGUGUAAAGGGAGUGUAGGCGGUACGGCAAGUCUGAUGUGAAAACCCUAAGCUCAACUAAGGGAGUGCAUUGGAAACUGUCGGACUAGAGUGUGGGAGAGGCAGGUGGAAUUC